rnacentral:rRNA from 1 species
UGGGGAAUAUUGGACAAUGGACCAAGAGUCUGAUCCAGCAAUUCUGUGUGCACGAUGAAGUUUUUCGGAAUGUAAAGUGCUUUCAGUUGGGAAGAAAAAAAUGACGGUACCAACAGAAGAAGUGACGGCUAAAUACGUGCCAGCAGCCGCGGUAAUACGUAUGUCACGAGCGUUAUCCGGAUUUAUUGGGCGUAAAGCGCGUCUAGGUGGUUAUGUAAGUCUGAUGUGAAAAUGCAGGGCUCAACUCUGGAUUGCGUUGGAAACUGUAUAACUAGAGUACUGGAGAGGUAAGCGGAACUACAAGUGUAGAGGUGAAAUUCGUAGAUAUUUGUAGGAAUGCCGAUGGGGAAGCCAGCUUACUGGACAGAUACUGACGCUGAAGCGCGAAAGCGUGGGUAGCAAACAGGAUUAGAUACCCUGGUAGUCCACGCCGUAAACGAUGAUUACUAGGUGUUGGGGGUCGAACCUCAGCGCCCAAGCAAACGCGAUAAGUAAUCCGCCUGGGGAGUACGUACGCAAGUAU